rnacentral:rRNA from 1 species
CUUGCCCGCUGGCGGCAGGCCUAACACAUGCAAGUCGAACGCAGUGGGGACGGGUGAGUAACACGUGGGUAACCUCCCAUCAGAGGGGAUAACACUUGGAAACAGGUGCUAAACCGAUACUGAUGGAUGGACCAGCGGGGCCUUCUCUAGUUGGUGAGGUACCGGCUCACCAAGGCCACGAUGCAUAGCCGACCGGAGAGGGUGAUCGGCCACACUGGGACUGAGACACGGCCCAGACUCCUACGGGAGGCAGCAGUAGGGAAUCUUCGGCAAUGGACGAAAGUCUGACCGAUCCACGCCGCGUGAGUGAAGAAGUUUUUCGGAUCGUAAAACUCUGUUGUUAGAGAAGCGGUAUCUAACCAGAAAGCCACGGCUAACUACGUGCCAGCAGCCGCGGUAAUAC